UAGGGAAUCUUCGGCAAUGGGGGCAACCCUGACCGAGCAACGCCGCGUGAGUGAAGAAGGUUUUCGGAUCGUAAAGCUCUGUUGUAAGUCAAGAACGGGUGUGAGAGUGGAAAGUUCACACUGUGACGGUAGCUUACCAGAAAGGGACGGCUAACUACGUGCCAGCAGCCGCGGUAAUACGUAGGUCCCCGAGCGUUGUCCGGAUUUAUUGGGCGUAAAGCGAGCGCAGGCG
rnacentral:rRNA from 1 species